AUGGGUAGCACGAUAUUCCUAAACCCGAUCCUCAAAAGCCUUGAGCAUAUCCAAAUCAAAGCCGCUAUCCGUCUUGAGAAAGUAGGAAUCCCUUCACACCUGCGUAAAUUCAGGCAAAUCAACACGCAAGCAAGAAGGCAGAAGAGAGCAGCCGAAGCAUCGAAACAAGCUCAUAGUCAUCGUGUCCCUUUUGUGCAUCGUGUUGACAAAUGUAAACCAUGCGCAUGCACCUUUAUCAUUAAUCUAACGAUCUCCUAUAUAAACCCAGACGUACGUUGUACUAAUUUCCUCUCCUCUGGAGCGCAUAUCUCCGGAGGAAUAUAUUCCGCCACCACUACUACCAGUCGGCUCCGGGUCUAA
rnacentral:rRNA from 1 species